GAAAAAUAUAUCGUACGUUAAACUUUUUAACAAAAAAUGUAAAGUAGUAUUUUCUUCUUAAUUAAAAUGCUACUUUAUUUCCAUGUUUUAUUCAAAAUGUUGCACAUAGAAACAGGGACAACAUUUGUUUUUCAGACUAAAACCUAACUAAGAAGAGUGGCAAAAAACCGCCGGAGCACACAGGAGCUAUAUAUACGUAGCCGUGGUUUGUUAAAAAUACCAUUUGCCGCGUUAGAAAAACCUUGCCCUUUCUCGCGAACAAGAAGGAGGAUUUUACUUUGACAUUCACUUUGCCCUAAAACCCUAAUUGAAAACCGAAGAUGCAAGAAAGCGGAGCCAAAGCGGUGUGUGCAGAGGAAGCUCUUUCUCUUCUCAAUUGCGUCACUCAAUCUCCUUACGAUGAAAACAAAUGCCUUCUCCUCUUGCAUUCUUUGCGCGACUGCGUCCUCGCCAAGAAAGUGAAGAACUUUUCCCUAGCUGGACAAGAAAAACAGAAAACCGAACCCAGUAGUCAGAAGGUUUGAUUAUAGAUUGGUAUCAUCAUUGCUUCACAAGUGCCUUCUAAUUCAUAUAUUUAUGUACCAGAAGCUAUUCAGUUUCAAAUUUGAAUUUCAAAUAUUCACAAAUAAUUUUGAUUUAGAGAAUUUUUUGGUUUCAAGUGUAAGUUGAGUUGGAGGUUAAGUUGCUUGCACUGUAUCUCUCAUCUUCGGAUGUUGUGCAAGUUUUUCCUAAACCUGACCACCUUAAUCGUAAUUACGGCCUGGGGUUAAUAUAACCAAACAUUUCCACUUUACCUUGUUCAGUUUACACUGAACCCUUUUGAUACAUGGGAUGGAAUGCAUAACCUGUUUAAAUGUAUGUGUUUCUAGUUAACUGCGAAUACAAAUUUAGCAUUUUAAUGGAUGGGUUCUCUGGCUUUAUAAGAGAACUUUUAUCAGUUUAGUAGAAGAAAAAAUAUUUUGUAUUUGAUUGAUGAUGUGUUUCUAGUUAUUUGAUUUUAGUCAUUUUUUAUUUCUAGAAUUAUAGAAUUGUAAAUUCAUUGCCGAUUAUUGUUCUUAGUCAAUCAGCUAUACUCUCAUUAUACCAAAAGCAAGAUAACCAUUAUAUUAGCAAGAGAAAAGCAUAACCAAGUCUGAAAUCUGUUCCGACCGCAAACACUAGCCCACUAAAUGGCCCAACAUGAAUAAACUAAACACCUACUCUUCUAACUCAGAGCAGCAUUACGUUCCCCACUUCUCUCCCUACAUACGAACACAACACCGCUUUCUGCUACUAAUUCAGAAGUGUGAGGAAAUUUAGGCCGAGUGGAUGAUGUAUGUGAGUACCAGAGCCAGCAACAUCAGUGUAUAUGCUACCCCUUGAUCGAUAGACGACCCUGAAUUACAAUACAACACAAAUAUAAUUAUUUGAUUGAACUUUUUAUUAUAUUGGAUUAGACAUAGUCAAUUGCUUCGGAAAUUAAAAAUACAAUUCAUGUUCAAAAUAUAUCCUAUGCAUUGUUGUUCUUACUUAAAGUGCGCUCUGACAUAAAAUUUUAAAUGUAACAGCAUAAAUUUCGAGUAACAGAGUUGAAAAUAUGGCAAAUUACAUUGGUCAUGAUAUUUUUCAUGGUGUAUACAGUAGUUCCUUGUUUUAGUUUUUGAAAGUAUUCACCGAGCUUUUAGACAUUUGGAAAGAAAAAAUAAAACUGUGAUAUUAGUAUUAAGACGGAUGAUUUAGGAUGUGGUCGAAGGAAAUUAGUGUAGAUCUGGGAAGAAGUGAGAGGAAAAGUUAAUAAUAAAGAAGAAAAGUACCGUCACUGGAAGGGGCGAGUGCAGGGGCUGCAGUUUGAGCCUGAACAGCUGCAGGCAUUGAAAGAGCAAGAAUGAGAGCGGCAACCAUGGCCACAACUCCCAAUCCCAAGGAAUGCUUGCAAACACCUGCCAUCUCCAAAUUACAGUCGCUUCUCUUUCUCUCUAUUUGGUGCGGAAGAGAGAGAAAGGAAAAGGGAGAUGAAGUGAGAGAAUAAGAGGAAGAGGGUGGGUUUUGUGUUGUGUUGUGUUAAGGUAAUGUGAUUGCGUUGGAAGAGGGUGUUGCGUUUAAAAAGGUGAUUAGAGUUGUUUUGUGGGGGAGAGACAAAACAGGAAAAAACCACUCUCUUGUGGGCCGUAUGUUUCGGAAACCCAUCUUAUGUUUGCCUAUUCCAAUCCCUCUCAUUCAUUUUAUUUAUGCCAAAAUUCUAUUAUUAUUUUAACCUCUUCAUUUCUUACGUAUCUGUUCCCCUCUUUUAAAAGGCAAACGAAUCAAAACUCACGAGACACGGCUAUUCUGUUAACUUUUACAAAAAUUACAUACUUAUAACAAUUUCAAGGAUCGUGUAACAUCCCAAAAAU
rnacentral:sRNA from 1 species